AAAAAAAAAAAGCAAACAAAAAAAUGUAAGUUAACAGUAAAGAAGGAAAAACAGGUGAAACACUGAGGCUUUGUGGAUGGAUACUCCCCUACCCCCAAUGCCUUGCAAUUGGUCAACUUAAAGGUAGCUGAGUUGGGUAAAGACUAAUUAGUUAUCCUCUUGAAGUCACUUGUAAUGGGAGGAAGGAAGGAAGGAGGGAAAAAGGGAAAGAGAGAGAAAAGGUGGGGGGGGGGAGAAGAAAUCUUCACAAAACGCAGAUAGCCUUGAAUGAAAAGUCAAGUUCAGAGUAUUUCUCACCAUCCUCCCACCUCUGUCACCUACUUUCUCUCUUCAUCCUGCAUUCCUCUACUGUAUUGCCUCCUCCAAAAACUUCCUUAACAGCCUACUUUAAAACUAACUGGAUGGGAGGAUCUUAGUUUGUAAUAUCAACCAUAAGGCAACAACAAAGGAAUGUGCUGCUGACUUGUAGUGUCUGUUUUUGUUUCAGGGAGUCCUCUUAACUUCUCAUCUUAAUAUUAACUAUGGUCCAGGAGGGUGAGGGCUCCGAACCGGGGCUGUGUGGGAAGCUCAGGAUGCCUCAUCCACACCUGCCCUCCUCUGCAGAUAAACACCCCUCACGGACUCCAAGGCCAUCCAUCUGGCACCUUUCAACAGCUUCCAAGUCUAAGAAAACAAACCCUUUAAAAAAUGGGUUUUUUAAAAAAAAACAAGAAAGCCUAAAGGGUGCAUUUUUUUGCUGGCUGCAACCGCUUUAACCAGAAUAAACAGCAUGGGGGAGUAAGAAAAGAGAAUGAAUGGGAGCAGAAUCCAGUUCCACAGUUAUAUAUCACACAUAUUACAUACCUAGAUUUACAAUUUUAUUAAUUUUCUCAUUUGUUCUUCAGAGAGUUAAUUUUUAGGGGGAGAACUAGAUAUCUUUCGGAUUACAAGAAGAGGCUUCUCAUCCUGGAAGAGGCGAUCAGACUUUCUGAAAUCUGUCCUUUCCUCCCUCUUUGGCUCAGCACAAGCACACACACACACAAACAAAACAACAACAAAAAAGAAGCCCCCCUUUUGGCCUUCAGAGAAGAAAUGUUCACAAACCCAUGAUUAUUCUGCCUGGUGAAUUUUAAUUCUUCGCAACUUGGAAUUUAAAUUCUAAAGAUGAGGAUACUGAUGCAUAAUAUUGAACUAUGCCUUCAAGAAGAUUGGUCAUCAAGAGUGUGGUGUUCCAGUGCCUUGAGGGUGACUGGUCAAGUGCAUUUAAAAGAUGUGGUUAUUUCUCACUUUUUGCUGUCUCCUCUGCCCAUCAGCUUGCCUUGGUUACUGCUUAUAGGUCCUAGCUGGAGAAUAAUGUGCUUCACAGUGUGAUUCUCAACCCAUCUGCACUUGAGUCAUCUGGAAUGAUUGAUGGAAAUAAGGAUUUUUAGUCCCAUCAUCAUGAAUCAGAAUUUCUAUGGUAAGCCAAGAAGUAUGCGCUUUAACAGGCUACCCAGGUUCUUAUGCAUACAGAGCUUGAGACCCAUUGCAUAGGAGGAGCAAUGAAUCCCAAGUACAAUCAUAUGUUUUUUGUUAAUACUCCAGGCACUACUAGUUCUCUGCUUAGCACAUGGAAGAUUCCCACUAAUUGCUUAUUGGAUUAAGGAAUGAAUAAAUCUAACUUUAGAAGGAAAUCCAGUCAUGGGAAAUCUUCCCUACUCUAAGGAAAUAUUUGCAAUUUUCACUAAAUGUGCCCAUAAUACCAAUUUCAAUUAAUUUAAUCCUCAUUCCUUCACAAGUUAAACUGCUUAAAUCUCCUUCGGAUUUUCCUUCUUCCUAAAAUAAUGUAGUUUUAAUUUACUUUGGUUGUGAUGAAAUAUCAUAUCAAAUUUAUUCCCAAACUCUCAAGGUGUUCUUUAAUUCAGUUUAGACCUCCUCCUGGGUAGUUUCCUCCAGUAAAAACUGGAAAAAAUACUGAAAUGAUUUUAUAAGCUAGGUAAACAUUGUUAUAGAGACCACUAAUAUUCUAACAUAUCAUUAAUUCAACAAAUAUUUACUGUACUUAAACAUUCAGAUUAUCACAAGCAGUACAAGAAACCUGUGAUUUUCUGUUGCUCCCUGGGAAUAUUAAUAUUUUGACCUGUAUUCAAUUAGGUUUGGAAGCCUUUUUUCUUUUGCUCCCUAGCUGCAGCCUGUUUAAGGCUGAGUGACUCUAGGUAGAUGCCUUGGAUGGCUGACUUUAAGAGACCUCUAAUUCAUAGAGCUUCUAUCAGCAUAACUCAUUAACACCCCAGCUUCCAUUCUAUGCCUUUCUAGUAGAGGUUGCCUUGAUCUCUUUGCUAACCUUACUUUGGUUCUGAACAUAUGAAAUGAAUAACGGAGCAAAGGUGAUGUAACUAAUCUCUAAAUAUGCUACAGCUUUUAAUCUUUACAAUGAUCUUGUGAGGAAGACAAUUCCUUCUCAUAUUAUAGAAGAGAUACUUGAGGCUAAUAAUGAUUAUAUAAUUAGACUAAGUCAUAUAGCAGAAAAAGGUGCAGAGCCAGGACUCAAUUUCCCAUUUCUUUCCUCGGCUCAUCUACUUUCUACUACCAUGUUGCUUCCUCACUUUACUU